rnacentral:rRNA from 1 species
UACGAAGGGGCGUAGCGUUGCUCGGAAUCACUGGGCGUAAAGGGUGCGUAGGCGGGUCUUUAAGUCAGGGGUGAAAUCCUGGAGCUCAACUCCAGAACUGCCUUUGAUACUGAAGAUCUUGAGUUCGGGAGAGGUGAGUGGAACUGCGAGUGUAGAGGUGAAAUUCGUAGAUAUUCGCAAGAACACCAGUGGCGAAGGCGGCUCACUGGCCCCGAUACUGACGCUGAGGCACGAAAAGCGUGGGGGAGC